UCAGGCCUAACACAUGCAAGUCAUACGGGAGUUAGUUUCGGCUAACUCCAGUGGCGGACGGGUGAGUAACACGUGGGAAUUCGCCUUUAGGAGAGGGAUAACAGGGGGAAACACCUGCUAAAACCUCAUAUGCCUUCGGGUCAAAAGAGUAAUCUGCCUAAAGAGAAGCUCGCGGCUGAUUAGCUAGUUGGUGGGGUAAAGGCCUACCAAGGCGACGAUCAGUAGCUGGUCUGAGAGGAUGAUCAGCCACACUGGAACUGAGACACGGUCCAGACUCCUACGGGAGGCAGCAGUGGGGAAUUUUCUGCGAUGGGCGAAAGCCUGACAGAGCAAUACCGCGUGAGGGAAGAAGGCUUACUGAGUUGUAAACCUCUGUUACCUAAGGAGGAAGAUCUGACGUAC
rnacentral:rRNA from 1 species